rnacentral:rRNA from 1 species
UACAUGGGGUGCAAACGUUGCUCGGAAUCAUUGGGCGUAAAGCGCGCGUAGGCGGUUGCUUAAGUCGGAUGUGAAAGCCCUCGGCUUAACUGAGGAAGUGCAUCCGAAACUGAGCAGCUAGAGUACGAAAGAGGGUCGCGGAAUUCCCGGUGUAGAGGUGAAAUUCGUAGAUAUCGGGAGGAACACCAGUGGCGAAGGCGGCUAUCUGGACGGUUUCUGACGCUAAGACGCGAAAGCGUGGGGAGCAAACAGG